rnacentral:rRNA from 1 species
AGUCGAGCGCGGGUAGCAAUACUCGAGCGGCGAACGGGUGAGUAACGCGUGAACAAUCUGCCUUAAAGUGGGGGAUAACCAUCCCAACGGAUGGCUAAUACCGCAUAGGGUAUAGGGGGGGCAUCCCUCCUUUACGAAAGGCUUCGGCCGCUUUAGGAUGAGUUCGCGUCCCAUUAGCUAGUUGGCGGGGUAACGGCCCACCAAGGCAACGAUGGGUAGCCGGCCUGAGAGGGUGUCCGGCCACAUUGGGACUGAGAUACGGCCCAGACUCCUACGGGAGGCAGCAGUAGGGAAUUUUGCGCAAUGGGGGAAACCCUGACGCAGCAACGCCAUGUGUGGGAUGAAGCAUUUCGGUGUGUAAACCACUGUCGGCAGGGAAUAAAGCCCGCGCUAGUCGCGGGGGUGAAUGUACCUGCAGAGGAAGCCCCGGCUAACUUCGUGCCAGCAGCCGCGGUAAUACGAGGGGGGCAAGUGUUGUUCGGAAUCACUGGGCGUAAAGGGAGCGUAGGCGGGCUCUUAAGUUGGAUGUUUAAAACCGGGGCCUAACCCCGGCGUGGCAUUCAAAACUGGGAGUCUUGAAUGGAACAGAGGCUAGUGGAAUUGGAGGUGUAGCGGUGGAAUGCGUAGAGAUCUCCAAGAACACCCGUUGCGAAGGCGGCUAGCUGGGUUCACAUUGACGCUGAGGCUCGAAAGCAUGGGGAGCAAACAGGAUUAGAUACCCUGGUAGUCCAUGCCGUAAACGAUGAACACUAGGUUUUGACCCCGUCAACGGGUCAGAGCCGCAGCUAACGCGUUAAGUGUUCCGCCUGGGGAGUACGGUCGCAAGACUGA